UACGAAGGGUGCUAGCGUUGUUCGGAAUCACUGGGCGUAAAGCGUGCGUAGGCGGUUUUUUAAGUCUGAUGUGAAAGCCCGGGGCUCAACCCCGGAUGUGCAUUGGAUACUGGAAGGCUAGAGAUUGGGAGAGGAAAGUGGAAUUCCGAGUGUAGAGGUGAAAUUCGUAGAUAUUCGGAGGAACACCAGUGGCGAAGGCGACUUUCUGGACCAAUACUGACGCUGAGGCACGAAAGCGUGGGGAGCAAACAGG
rnacentral:rRNA from 1 species